ACGUACACUCCUACGGGAGGCAACAGUGGGGAAUAUUGGACAAUGGGCGCAAGCCUGAUCCAGCCAUGCCGCGUGAGUGAUGAAGGCCCUAGGGUUGUAAAGCUCUUUCACCGGUGAAGAUAAUGACGGUAACCGGAGAAGAAGCCCCGGCUAACUUCGUGCCAGCAGCCGCGGUAAUACGAAGGGGGCUAGCGUUGUUCGGAUUUACUGGGCGUAAAGCGCACGUAGGCGGACUAUUAAGUCAGGGGUGAAAUCCCGGGGCUCAACCCCGGAACUGCCUUUGAUACUGGUAGUCUUGAGUUCGAGAGAGGUGAGUGGAAUUCCGAGUGUAGAGGUGAAAUUCGUAGAUAUUCGGAGGAACACCAGUGGCGAAGGCGGCUCACUGGCUCGAUACUGACGCUGAGGUGCGAAAGCGUGGGGAGCAAACAGGAUUAGAUACCCCAGUAGUCCC
rnacentral:rRNA from 1 species